AUGCAACGCGAAGAACCUUACCUGGUCUUGACAUCCACAGAACUUGGCAGAGAUGCCUUGGUGCCUUCGGGAACUGUGAGACAGGUGCUGCAUGGCCGUCGUCAGCUCGUGUUGUGAAAUGUUGGGUUAAGUCCCGCAACGAGCGCAACCCUUACCCUUUCGUUGCCAGCGGUUAGGCCGGGAACUCAAAGGAGACUGCCAGUGAUAAACUGGAGGAAGGUGGGGAUGACGUCAAGUCAUCAUGGCCCUUACGAGUAGGGCUACACACGUGCUACAAUGGCAUAUACAAAGAGAAGCGACCUCGCGAGAGCAAGCGGACCUCAUAAAGUAUGUCGUAGUCCGGAUUGGAGUCUGCAACUCGACUCCAUGAAGUCGGAAUCGCUAGUAAUCGUGGAUCAGAAUGCCACGGUGAAUACGUUCCCGGGCCUU
rnacentral:rRNA from 1 species